UAGGGAAUCUUCGGCAAUGGACGAAAGUCUGACCGAGCAACGCCGCGUGAGUGAAGAAGGUUUUCGGAUCGUAAAACUCUGUUGUUAGAGAAGAACAAGGACGUUAGUAACUGAACGUCCCCUGACGGUAUCUCACCAGAAAGCCCCGGCUACCUACGUGCCAGCAGCCGCGGUAAUACGUAGGUGGCAAGCGUUGUCCGGAUCUAUUGGGCGUAAAGCGAGCGCAGGCGGUUUCUUAAGUCUGAUGUGAAAGCCCCCGGCUCAACCGGGGAGGGUCAUUGGAAACUGGGAGACUUGAGUGCAGAAGAGGAGAGUGGAAUUCCAUGUGUAGCGGUGAAAUGCGUAGAUAUAUGGAGGAACACCAGUGGCGAAGGCGGCUGUCUGGUCUGUAACUGACGCUGAGGCUCGAAAGCGUGGGGAGCAAACAGG
rnacentral:rRNA from 1 species